GAAGGUGGGGCUAUGGCGCUGCUGACGAUCACGGAGAUCCACUUGGUGGAUGAUGGAUUGAUCUAUGGAUUGCACGAUGGUACUGAAGAGCAAGCAGAUUAUGAAGAAUACGAGGAUUUCGAGGAAAAUUCCUUGAUUGAAGAAGAAGAGGAAG